rnacentral:rRNA from 1 species
UACGUAGGGUGCGAGCGUUGUCCGGAAUUACUGGGCGUAAAGAGCUCGUAGGUGGUUUGUCGCGUUGUUCGUGAAAACUCACAGCUUAACUGUGGGCGUGCGGGCGAUACGGGCAGACUGGAGUACUGCAGGGGAGACUGGAAUCCUGGUGUAGCGGUGGAAUGCGCAGAUAUCAGGAGGAACACCGGUGGCGAAGGCGGGGUCUCUGGGCAGUAACUGACGCUGGAGGAGCGAAAGCGUGGGGAGCGAACAGG